GACAGAGGGUGCAAACGUUGUUCGGAAUUACUGGGCGUAAAGCGAGUGUAGGCGGUUUCCUAAGUCGGGUGUGAAAGCCCCGGGCUCAACCCGGGAAGUGCACUCGAAACUAGGAGGCUAGAGUAUCGGAGAGGUUGGUGGAAUUCUCGGUGUAGAGGUGAAAUUCGUAGAUAUCGAGAGGAACACCGGUGGCGAAGGCGGCCAACUGGACGAAUACUGACGCUGAGACUCGAAAGCGUGGGGAGCAAACAGG
rnacentral:rRNA from 1 species